UCUGAAUCUGCGAACGGCUCCGCAAACCAGUUGUAAACCAUAGCAAGCAUGCUCCGGGUCGGCCGCAAGGUUGGUCUGGGGCUAUAAGGAUAACCCUGGUAAUUCUGAGGCUAAUACAUGAACGUAACCCCCGGCCGAAGGGUAAAACUGGACGUCGGGGGCCGUGCGAGUAGGCGCAAAAGUUUAUUGGGAAUAGUCGCACAGUACGACCGCCAUACCAAACAGUAUCCGCUACGCCUCCUCACGGGGGCCGGUGGUGUCUGGGCGGCUCUUGCAAGGUGCUUCUGACCUAUCAACUAGAUGGCAGCGUAAUGGACAUGCUAUGGU
rnacentral:rRNA from 1 species